rnacentral:rRNA from 1 species
AACGAACGCUGGCGGCAGGCUUAACACAUGCAAGUCGAGCGCCCCGCAAGGGGAGCGGCAGACGGGUGAGUAACGCGUGGGAACAUACCCUUUGGUUCGGAAUAACUCAGGGAAACUUGAGCUAAUACCGGAUACGUCCGUAAGGAGAAAGAUUUAUCGCCAAAGGAUUGGCCCGCGUCCGAUUAGCUAGUUGGUGAGGUAACGGCUCACCAAGGCUACGAUCGGUAGCUGGUCUGAGAGGAUGAUCAGCCACAUUGGGACUGAGACACGGCCCAAACUCCUACGGGAGGCAGCAGUGGGGAAUAUUGGACAAUGGGCGCAAGCCUGAUCCAGCCAUGCCGCGUGAGUGAUGAAGGCCUUAGGGUUGUAAGGCUCUUUUGUCCGGGAAGAUAAUGACUGUACCGGAAGAAUAAGCCCCGGCUAACUUCGUGCCAGCAGCCGCGGUAAU